CUACAUUCUAAUUUCUUAAUAAGAUAACGUCAAUGAAUGCUGUAAUUUUUAUUAUUUUUUAAACUUCGAUGAUUUUCAACAAAAGAUCAAUUAAUCAAAGAAAAGACAUUUGACUUCUUCAAGCUGGGUGUUCUUCCCUUCUUUCUAUUGUAUGGAUUUUGAUUCAUCUAUUGUUAUUUGUCAAUUUGUCAUGUGCAGUUGAUGUGGGAAGACAUUCAUUGUAAUCAUCGAUGCACACCGGUGACAUCAACAGAAGACACUAGUUUUUUACUCCCUCAAAACUACUUUUGUAUAUGUUCUGCACGUGUGUAGAUAAGCGAGAACCUUCAUAUUCAAUAAAUAAAUAAAUAAAUAUAAAAAGUAA